rnacentral:lncRNA from 1 species
CCGCUCGCCUCCGACACCAGGGACUGUGAGAGCCGCCAGCGCACCGCCGCCUGCUAACCACUCACUGCUAAUUAAUUGCUGACUUCACUCUGCCGGCUUUGAACUCUCAACAGUUUUUUUUCCAGUUUGAGGCAGCUGCAUCAUGAUGUGUUGGAUGAGUCAGUGGGCAAUGAGGGAGAAGUGGAGACCCAGGUGCUGAGG